CUGGCAUGAUAUAGAUUUUGAAGUGUGGGUAUUACAUAAGAUUGCGGUUUUGAUAUAUGUGUGCACGCAUAUAUUAAAGGCAUGGUUAUAGUGAUAUCGGUUAGGAGAGAGAUACUGUUCGGUGGUUUUUUUUUAUAAUUGUUGCAGUUGCGGGGCAUCCAGAGAGGAGAGUACAUCGGACGAAUCUUCCGCUACACAGAGUUGGUCAAAUAUUUCGGCAGGACAUCGAGGCGGCAGUCAGUAUACCAGUUUGGCAAGGAGCGAAAAACUACCGUCAUCACUUCAGUAACGUCAACACUUUAACGACGCAAUACUUUAGCGAGAAUUCAGCAGAGUCGUCGACCUUCAAAUUUCUGAGAACAAUAUUUGUUAACACAAACACUAAGGUGUUAGCAGAUUGGCAGUGCUGGUGAACUUUUGGCAUAAACCAUUGGACAUUAUCGAAGAAAUUAAAAUGCCACAGCACAUUUUGACAAUUGCGUCCUGAAAUCAAUUAUUGCAUCGGCAUCAGA